UUCCUCACAGACUUUUGAAAGAUAAAUGAGAAAACGCCCAUGAAGAGGGAUGCACCGCCAAAUUGCUCACUGAUGUGUCCACCCUUCCCCUGCCUGACGACCCCUAAGCUACCUGGAUAGAACAAAAACGCAGAAGAAAGGUGACUUCAUUCUCUCCCCGCCCCCGAGCUAAGACCUUCAUCUUCUCUUGGCCCUCCAGAUUCACACAGGAUUUAUACCUUUGGACUCAGACUGAAUUACACCAUCAGAUUUCCUGAUUCUCCAGUCUUUUCAACCUCCAUAAGUCCUUUCUCAACACAGAAGCCACUGAUUUUGUGGGAUUACACUGAGAAGUGGAAGCUGUGACUGAGAAGUGGGGUCAUCAUGCUCUUGA